rnacentral:lncRNA from 10 species
UUUCAGUCAGCAUGACUGGAACUUUGAUCAACAAAUCCCCAAGAGCCACAACCCGUCUUUUGUGAACAAGUAGUAUCAAGGUGGGGGUGGGCUUGGAGUGCACUGGAUGCUUUUCUUCUUUCAUCAUGAAACCUGGUGGUUUUGUGUCAUGUGAUAUGUUUUUCAGAGAUUCGGCAGGAAGCUUGCACCGAGUGAAGGAUUUAUAAAGAUUAUAGGAGAUAACACAAAGCUAUUUUAUCUCUUUAAAAAAAAUCAAAGGUGUAAGCUCAUCCUACACAUGUCAUUUGGACCAGACCAAGGCUGCUGUCAUGGAGGACCCACACCACAGCUUGGGAACCAUUCAUCUACCAGAGGGUCACAUGACUUCAAAUGACUCUUCUAGGGGCCACCUGCCAUGAUAGGGUACCAGCUCUUCCUCUGAAUUCCCAAUCCAUUUCUUGAGAACUACUGUUUCUAAUAAGAGGGGAAGAAGGUCAUGUGGGAAUCAGUUAAAUCACGUGUGGAUAGAAGACAAGUUCCAGCUUUGUGGGAAAUCCUGUAGCCUUCGCCAGGUACACCCUGACAAUCUCAGAACUGAUCAGGAUUUGCUCAAAAUGGAUUUGCAAAGAGAAAAAAAAUUUAAUGUCACACUGCCAUGAUAAGUCAACCAACCAUCUCAUAUAUCAAAGGAGAGAGGCAGAGAAAGAAAAGGAGGAGGAUAAAGAAGAGGAGGAAGAGGACGAAAGGAAAACCAAGAGGAGGAGAAGCCACUUCUUACUUUGGAUUAAUGUGAAACUAAAUAGUUUACUACAUUUUAAGUGGGAAAAUGUUAGUUGAAAAGAUAUUUGUCAACCACAAACAUUUGAAAGGGAAGCAUUCCAAAGAUUUUCACUGUUUAUGUUCAAAUUACAACAUGUGCAGAAAGUUGUGCAACUGAAAAUCCUUUCAAACAACAGCUACAAAAGAGAUUGGUCAGUUAGGACAGGAAUAGAAAGUGGAAACUUAGAAGACUGGCUACUCCUUGUGUAUGAUUGCUGGGGUGAGUCUGUGCUGAGAACUUUUUACAAAGGGUGUCCUUUGCUGAUAUGAGAGGGGGGUGUCAAACUUUUGAGUGAUCACUGUGGGUCCUCAGCUUAGACAUCUUCUCUGGCCCAAGAUGGCACCCCUUGCUCUCUUUCCAUGGGACACAGGGACCUUGCCAUCCUUCCAUCUUAUAAGCCUUCUGUCAUGAUUUUUACUUCAUCCUAGAUAGCCUUAAUUUGGGCCAGGUCUCCAGGUUCCUCCACUUUCUUCUGUCCCAUCCAUACCCCUCACCAAUCCUCUGUAAAUUCCUUUCCAGGAUUUUACUGAGAACUACAGAGAAACAGGCUGGGAAUAACAAACAUGGGGAGUUAUGUAGUUAACAUACACUUUGACAUCACCUAGUCAUUUUCCUGAGUAUAUAGAUAACUCUGUUAUUACUGGUUAUAAGGUCCAUGAGAAGCCUUUAUCCUUUUCUGGAAACCAAGAAAGCACCUGCCCUCCCUCAGUCCUAAGGGGAGAAUCUUUAUGGGUGUAACAAUAAAAUGGAUAAUGGGAAAUUCUGAUGUCCUCAAGCAUACAUUCAGAUGUCCCCAAUGAGCAUCAUUUGUAUAUCAAGGGAACUCCAGAGAGAUGAUCCACAAUUCAGUGUGUCCCUUUGGCCAGUAGAGAGGUCACCUUAGUCUGGA